CUGCUGCCUUCCGUAGGAGUUUGGACCGUGUCUCAGUUCCAAUGUGGCCGAUCACCCUCUCAGGUCGGCUACUGAUCGUCGCCUUGGUGAGCCGUUACCUCACCAACAAGCUAAUCAGACGCGAGCUCAUCCAUAUCCGAUAAAUCUUUGAUGGAAAGAAGAUGCCUUCAAACCAUGUUAUGCGGUAUUAUCAGUCGUUUCCAACUGUUAUCCCCCAGAUAUGGGCAGAUUGCUCACG
rnacentral:rRNA from 1 species